rnacentral:snRNA from 1 species
GUGGUUGCUCCCACAGUACAUAUACUAAAAUUGGAAUGACUCAGAGAAGAUUAGUAUGGCCCCUGUGCAAAAAGAUUAUCUAUGUACCAUCCAAUGUCAUC